UAUUAAAAAUUUUAUCUAUUUGUACUGUUAAAAACUAGUAUGGCUAAUAGAAUAAUCAUACAAUAUCACAUGACAUACUAUACAUGUACUUCAAAUUGACGUACAUAGACCAUUUUAACAAUAGAAAUGAAUGAGAUGUUUAACA
rnacentral:pre_miRNA from 1 species